rnacentral:rRNA from 1 species
CGCAAUGCGGCAGCUACACAUGCAGUCGAGCGGUAGCACAGGGAGCUUGCUCCUGGGUGACGAGCGGCGGACGGGUGAGUAAUGUCUGGGAAACUGCCUGAUGGAGGGGGAUAACUACUGGAAACGGUGGCUAAUACCGCACAACGUCGCACGACCAAAGAGGGGGACCUUCGGGCCUCUUGCCAUCACAUGUGCCCAGAUAGGAUUAGCUAUUAUGUGGGGUAACGGCUCACCUAGGCGACAAUACCUAGCUGGUCUGAGAGGAUGACCAGCCACACUGGAACUGAGACACGGUCCACACUCCUACGGGAGGCAGCAGUGGGGAAUAUUGCACAAUGGGCGCAAGCCUGAUGCACCCAUGCCGCGUGUAUGAAAAAAGCCUUCGGGUUGUAAAGUACUUUCAGCGGGGAGGAAGGUGUUGAGGUUAAUAACCUCAGCAAUUGACGUUACCCGCACAAAAAACACCGGCUAACUCCGUGCCAGCAGCCGCGGUAAUACGGAGGGUGCAAGCGUUAAUCGGAAUUACUGGGCGUAAAGCGCACGCACGCGGUCUGUCAAGUCGGAUGUGAAAUCCCCGGGCUCAACCUGGGAACUGCAUUCGAAACUGGCAGGCUAGAGUCUUGUAGAGGGGGGUAGAAUUCCCGGUGUAGCGGUGAAAUGCGUAGAGAUCUGGAGGAAUACCGGUGGCGAAAGCGGCCCCCUGGACAAAGACUGACGCUCACGUGCGAAAGCGUGGGGAGCAAACAGGAUUAUAUACCCUGGUAGUCCACGCCGUAUACGAUGUCGACUUGUAGGUGUUCCCUUGAGGAGUGGCUUCCGGAGCUCACGCGUUAAGUCGACCGCCUGGGGGAGUACAGCCGCAAGGUUAAAACUCACAUGAGUUGACGGGGGCCCGCACAAGCGGUGGAGCAUGUGGUUUAUUUCGAUGCAACGCGCAGAACCUUACCUACUCUCGACAUCCACAGAACUUUUCACAGAUGGAUUGGUGCCUUCCGCGAACUCUGAGACACGUGCUGCAUGGCUGUCGUCAGCUCUGUGUGAAAUGUUGGG